AUUGGCCUUGGCCCAUUUUCAGUCACGCAUUCCCGAUCGAAGGUGGUCGACUUUUCCGUCGCAUUCUACGAGGAUGGAAACGCAAUUCUGAUCCCGCCACCGGCGGAAGAGAACCGUUUAUCAGCUUGCACGAAGCCAUUCCGUUUGGAGACUUGGCUUACCUUGAUGCUGUUUGCGACUAUUUUACCCGUCAUUCUUUGGCAACAUUCAAAGUUUUAUUGGAUUCACUACCGGGAAAAAUGUCCGACAUUGGGGGACCAAUAUUUGUUCAGCCUCGGAGUUCUUAUUGGCCAGUCUGGACGAAAAUUGUCUUCGCGGUGUUCACUUCAAUUACUCGCAGCCAUUUGGUGUUUGAGUGCUGUCGUUUUCGCAAGCGCUUACGUGGGAAUUCUCAUGUCCUUUCUGCGAUUUCCCAAACUGUUGCCCGUCAUCAAUCGACUGGAAGAAUUACCUGAAUCCCACCUCAAGUGGGUUGCCCUACAAGGAACCGCUCUGGAUUCGCUCUUUCUGGAUGCUACAGCCGGAAUUUACAAAACUAUCGGAGGUUAAGCCAUUCAAACGAAAAACUGAUUGCUAUUUUAAAAAUAUUCCCUGAUUAUAUUAACAGAUGGCUUAUUGAAGCAGCAGCGUGGAGCUUUGAUUGAUGUUCAUUUAGACGGUAUCAACCUCGUCGUUAACGGCGGUUACGCUUAUCUUGCGGGGAAAUCAAAUUUAGAGUCAUCGCUCUACGAGGAUUAUCUUCGAACGGGCACCUGUCGUCUCAGCAUUGCCCAGCAAGAAUUCUUUAAAGUCAAUGUGGCAUUCGCAUUCUCCAAAAAUAGUGCUCUUAAACCAUUCAUGGACGACAAAAUUUUACAAAUGAUGGAAGCAGGUCUUGAUAUUUAUUGGAAGAAACUUUAUGGGGCACCGACUGGUGGUAAAUGCGGAAAAGUGAAGCAAUCCGACACGGGGCCCAAAAGUCUCAGUCUGGCGGAUUUACAAGGCGCUUUCAUCAUUUUAGCUAUCGGAUCCGGAAUAGCUUCUCUCGUUUUCUUAUUCGAGUGUUUGAUUCCCUAUUGCUUUCGCUCUCUUUGUCGAAUUUGUUUUAAAAAAAUAACCACAAAUUAACAUAUGCCCAGUUCGGAGUGAGAAUAAGGGGACAGAG